AAAAAUUUAGUUAAAACAUAACAUUAGUUUGUCAAACUAAAAUUAUUUUAUUUAAAAUAAAUAAUUUUUA
rnacentral:tRNA from 1 species